rnacentral:rRNA from 1 species
UACGUAGGGGGCAAGCGUUGUCCGGAAUUAUUGGGCGUAAAGAGCGUGUAGGCGGUCCGAUAAGUCGGCUGUGAAAGUCCAGGGCUCAACUCUGGAAUGCCGGCCGAUACUGUCGGACUAGAGUCCGGAAGAGGCAAGUGGAAUUCCCGGUGUAGCGGUGAAAUGCGCAGAUAUCGGGAGGAACACCAAUUGCGAAGGCAGCUCGCUGGGACGUAACUGACGCUGAGACGCGAAAGCGUGGGGAGCAAACAGG